AACGAACGCUGGCGGCAUGCCUAACACAUGCAAGUCGAACGAGACCUUCGGGUCUAGUGGCGCACGGGUGCGUAACGCGUGGGAACCUGCCCUUAGGUUCGGAAUAACUCCCCGAAAGGGGUGCUAAUACCGGAUAAUGUCUUCGGACCAAAGAUUUAUCGCCUUUGGAUGGGCCCGCGUUGGAUUAGCUAGUUGGUAGGGUAAGAGCCUACCAAGGCGACGAUCCAUAGCUGGUCUGAGAGGAUGAUCAGCCACACUGGGACUGAGACACGGCCCAGACUCCUACGGGAGGCAGCAGUGGGGAAUAUUGGACAAUGGGCGAAAGCCUGAUCCAGCAAUGCCGCGUGAGUGAUGAAGGCCUUAGGGUAGUAAAGCUCUUUUACCCGGGAUGAUAAUGACAGUACCGGGAGAAUAAGCUCCGGCUAACUCCGUG
rnacentral:rRNA from 1 species